rnacentral:rRNA from 1 species
GACGAACGCUGGCGGCGUGCUUAACACAUGCAAGUCGAACGGAAAGGCCCUGCUUUUGUGGGGUGCUCGAGUGGCGAACGGGUGAGUAACACGUGAGUAACCUGCCCUUGACUUUGGGAUAACUUCAGGAAACUGGGGCUAAUACCGGAUAGGAGCUCCUGCUGCAUGGUGGGGGUUGGAAAGUUUCGGCGGUUGGGGAUGGACUCGCGGCUUAUCAGCUCGUUGGUGGGGUAGUGGCUUACCAAGGCUUUGACGGGUAGCCGGCCUGAGAGGGUGACCGGGCACCUUAGGACUGAGGUACGGACCAGACUGCAACGGGGGGCAGCAGUGGGGAAUAUGGCACAAUGGGCGGAAGCCUGUUACGGAAACGCCGCGUGCGGGAAGACGGCCUUCGGGUUAGAAACCGCUUUCGCCUGUGACGAAGCGUGAGUGACGGUAAUGGGUGAAGAAGCACCGGCUAACUACGUG